rnacentral:rRNA from 1 species
AUUGAACGCUGGCGGCAGGCCUAACACAUGCAAGUCGAGCGGAUGAUUGGAGCUUGCUCCAUGAUUCAGCGGCGGACGGGUGAGUAAUGCCUAGGAAUCUGCCUGGUAGUGGGGGGCAACGUUUCGAAAGGAACGCUAAUACCGCAUACGUCCUACGGGAGAAAGCAGGGGACCUUCGGGCCUUGCGCUAUCAGAUGAGCCUAGGUCGGAUUAGCUAGUAGGUGAGGUAAUGGCUCACCUAGGCGACGAUCCGUAACUGGUCUGAGAGGAUGAUCAGUCACACUGGAACUGAGACACGGUCCAGACUCCUACGAGAGGCAGCAGUGGGGGAUAUUGGACAAUGGGCGAAAGCCUGAUCCAGCCAUGCCGCGUGUGUGAAGAAGGUCUUCGGAUUGUAAAGCACUUUAAGUUGGGAGGAAGGGCAGUAAGUUAAUACCUUGCUGUUUUGACGUUACCAACAGAAUAAGCACCGGCUAACUUCGUGCCAGCCGCCGCCGUAACAC